rnacentral:rRNA from 1 species
UACGGAGGGGGCUAGCGUUGUUCGGAAUUACUGGGCGUAAAGAGUGUGUAGGCGGUGCUCUAAGUUCGGUGUGAAAUCUCCCGGCUUAACUGGGAGGGUGCGCCGGAAACUGGAGUGCUCGAGCGUGGGAGAGGAAAGCGGAAUUCCUGGUGUAGCGGUGAAAUGCGUAGAUAUCGGGAGGAACACCAGUGGCGAAGGCGACUAUCUGGGCUUUAACUGACGCUGAGGCGCGAAGGCCGGGGGAGCAAACAGG